CUCAGCAUACCCUGUUGCAUAACCUAUAUUCGGCGAUUUACUUUUGGUCAAGUGUUUCAUAGGGUUGUAGUUAACUCAUGUAAAUCUCCGGAGAAUCCGUAGAUUUGUCUGGAAAUUAUGCCAGUUGCAAAAUUUCCAGUGCAAUCUCCGAAAACUUCUGAAGUUUCUGAUAAACUUGUUCGAAGUUGUGUAAAACUUUCAGGUUCGACUAUUCACC
rnacentral:lncRNA from 1 species